GUAGGACGUUGGGUAGGUAAAUCCGCCUGGCACAUAGUCUGAGACCUGAUGCCGAGCCGAUUGUGGUGAAGUGGAUGAUCCUAUGCUGUCGAGAAAAGCCUCUAGCGAGUUUCAUGGCGGCCCGUACCCUAAACCGACUCAGGUGGUCUGGUAGAGAAUACCGAGGCGUUCGGGUGAACUAUGGUUAAGGAACUCGGCAAAAUGCCCCCGUAACUUCGGGAGAAGGGGGGCCACACCUGG
rnacentral:rRNA from 1 species